GACGAACGCUGGCGGCGUGCCUAACACAUGCAAGUCGAACGGAGUUAACUUUUCAGAUCCCUUCGGGGUGAAGAGUUGUUAACUUAGUGGCGGACGGGUGAGUAACGCGUGAGCAACCUGCCUUACAGAGGGGGACAACAGUUGGAAACGACUGCUAAUACCGCAUAACAUACCGAGUGGGCAUCCACAUGGUAUCAAAGGAGCAAUCCGCUGUAAGAUGGGCUCGCGUCCGAUUAGAUAGUUGGUGAGGUAACGGCUCACCAAGUCGACGAUCGGUAGCCGGACUGAGAGGUUGAUCGGCCACAUUGGGACUGAGAUACGGCCCAGACUCCUACGGAGGCAGCAGUGGGGAAUAUUGGGCAAUGGGGGAAACCCUGACCCAGCAACGCCGCGUGAAGG
rnacentral:rRNA from 1 species